rnacentral:misc_RNA from 1 species
UUUUUAACCAAAAUCAGCUCUCACAUAUAUCAUAGAAUUCAGACAGUGCAGAUCCAAGACAUUUUUCCAUUAGGAAUAACAAUCUGUCCUCAUAUGUUCAUCAUUGUCAACUUUUCUGAGGUAUAACAAUCUCAUUUGCACAUGAAAAUGAUAUAAUAAAAUCUUCCCAUUGAUGGGCACACUUUUGCUUGUGCAGGCAAGAAAAGGCCAUGGGACUGAUACUGCAAAAGCUUGGAUAUAUCAUGCUUGUGCUUUGCUCUUUUUCCCGUCCAAAACAAAGCAAAACAAAAUCACUCAACAAGAAGGCACUAUCUUUCCCCUGAUCUUCAGCGAUAAAUAAAUUCUUGUAUUGUUGGGUUAGUGGAAGAAAUAUGGUACAGGAGUAGGGACAAGAUCAUUCUUGUUGCAGAAUUUCAUGCCUCUGGUGUACAGAAGUUGGAUUAUAAAACCACCUGCAAAAGUACUACUUGCAUAUAUACAAGCAUAAAGACUACAGAAUAAUUACUAAAGGAAAUAGGAGGUUGAGCAAUUUUCCGCCCCAUCCUUUCCAGGACCCAUAAGGAAGCAAAUUGAAUGUAGUCCAAAUCUUAAUCAAUUUCUAUAUUAAAUUCAUUUGGCAUGAUGUGCCUGAUAGAUAAUAUCCUCACAAAUUCAAAUGUACCGGGGUUGUUUUUGUUGUUAAACAAAAAGGACAACUAUCAACCUCAUGUUCCUGACAGGGUUAGCAAGAAGGGCCUGUCCUUAUCUCAAUUUCUUUAAUAAAGACUAGCCAAAUACAAUUUAAAGGCUUCAAUUCUUGUCAGUUGGCUGCCUUAUUAACCACCUUUUGCACAAUCAAGGCGGUAAGACAGUAGUCCCCACUGCACCACAGCUGGGUUUCUUUCCCCUGUAUCUAUAGGGUGUACUCUUUUUCUCCCUUGCAGAUUUAGCCUUAUUUCUUGCAAAAGAAAAAGGUUGCUUGCCAUUUCUUUCAGCAGUCGCAGCUUCGAACAUGAAUCAAAAAUCAACAGCUUCACAUUAUGAUAUUAUAACAUUACAACAGCUUCACAUUUGUUUCAUUGACGAAGAAAAACAUACUCGUACUGGAAUGCAGAUUCCAGAUGCAUUGUUCUAGCAGAAAAUAUCAACAAGGAUCCAGAUGAAAUACGUACAUAUAUAUAAACCAAAGCAAAAUUCACUGGUAAGAUACAAAAACUACUUUCACACUUUGAAGGUAAAACACUAAUGAAUAGUACCAAAGCAUGAACAUAAUCAUAGAAAACUCGACCAAAAAAUCACGAUGUAACCAGAGAUUUUGAAUUAAUCGCUCACAUCUUGCAACAAAGCGAGAAAGCCAUCUUUUCCAUCUACGGUAGUAAACGUUGAGAAAAAUGCAAACCAUUUUGAUGAAUGGUUUUUGUGGCCUUAACAGAAAGACUUUGAGAACUGAAUCACCAGCAGAAUGAUUGUAACAAACCACCAAGACACAUUCCAUCAUCAAUCUCAGAAAAAGAAGUGAUACAAUUAGCAAAAAGCUAAAUAAAACUCCACAGCGUAGAUUCCCUUUCCCUCAAUCAAACACGUAACCCCAAAUUAGACACGUCUCCAUUUCCAUGCAAAAGAUAUGCUUCCUUCUCUAAUCUCUCUCUUUGCAUUCUAUUUAGUUUCUCCUGUUACAUGUAUAUUUUUAGCUAUGGACUGGGUUCCACUAACUAAGCCUAGCAAUAUAAAAUACUUACUGUCAACAGCAAACAAGGCCUCCUUUUUUUUGAGAAUUUUUUUUUUCUCAUUUUUCUUGAACGUUUGUUCUACUCUAUUAUAACUUAAAUGCAAAUACAAAAUGAGCGAUACACUUUGUGCUGAUAUCUAGAAUGGUGUAAAACAUUAAAAAAUAAUAGUUUUAACCUCCAAUGGAAAUGACACACAAUUAAUUUAAAGGAAAUACCUUGUCUGUAUCUACUAAUAGAUAACUUCUAACCAAAAAUGGUUGACAUUAUGUUUAGCUAGUAAUGGUAUAAUUAAAGAGGAAUACACAUCUAAAAGAAUUACUUUUAACCUCUUCUUGAAAUGGCAUAACAACAAUUAAAGGUAAACACCUUUUGUAGCUAGUAAUAAACAAUACUCUCACCAAAAAUGGUUGACCUCUUUAUUUAGCCAGUAAUUACACCAUUCUGCUGCAAUUGAAUAUGAACUGGAAAUAAGAACUUAAAUAAAAUAAAUCCAUAGAUCAGUUGAACAACCAAAACGAUGUGAAAAAUGAAAGAGUCAAGUCAAUCAUCAGGAUACAAGUUACAUCCCAAUUAUAUUAUGCAGAAGCAACUUUGGCCUCAACAAAGAAAGUAAUUUUUUUAUGCUGUGAUUGGUUUCUCUUCAAUACUUAAACAAAGCAUUUAAUCCAAGGCACUCAACUUCUCCAACUCCACCUCUAAUUGAAGAGUUGGACAAUAAUAAGAACCAGUGCAUAAAGAAUGCAUUUUUUUCUUUGCUAAAACAUAUACCUAUUUAAAACCAGAGAACAAAACACACAUGGGUAAAAGGAGUUCAAGAGAAGUCCAACCAGUAUGCUUCUAAUUUAAGAGACUUCAAAAGAGAAUACCUUAUGCAAAAGCCAUUUGGCAGUUAUGUUAAUAACUGGCAGUCCUCCACAAAACCACCAGCAAAAUUUUGAUAGCAUUUUUCAAUAAGUGAAUUUCAACUUCCCAUCAGGUAACAUAUAAUUUCAUCCUUUUUAUAUCCUUCUCAUAUUUUGAGUUAUGGUUAUUAGAUUAUAGCAGUAACUAGCAAUUGACAUAAUCAUAUUACAGGAAAAAUUUGGAUCUAGAAACAAGCUGGUUGAUUAACAAUUUCUUUUUUCAAAUAUAAGAAACAUUUUUUCAAUGGAAUUUCCAGAAAUAAUGGCAAACCAAUUGCACUGGCAUGAGAAGCAUUACCGUUAUUUGAAGCAAAAUUAUGCAAUAAAAUGAUUACAACAGCUCAGCUCAGCCUUUGGAGUGGCUAUAUGGAUUAACGAUUUUGGGUUAAAUCUAUGAAAAAAUAUCAGUCUCAGUAAUUUACCAAUGUGGAUAAUUGAAACUGAAGGAUCUUGACCUUCUGAUUCUGUUGUAUACUUCAUCCAGUUAAGGACCAAAACAACAAUAGACAGACCCUUUCAAUGGAAAAGUCCAUCCCAUAGAAGAAAGAAACUCCAAGUUCAGACUUGAAUGAUUAAACUGUCAGAAAUGGAUAAGGGCAAAACAAUCUGUCAAUAAAAGAAAAUAACAAAUACAAUGUAUCAAGAAUCCACUCCGGUACAAAUGCAUAACAUACUAAUCGUAAUUUUUGUAGAAUUGCAAGUUAGGACUCCAAAAAUUCAAACAAAAACUCAGAGCUAGAUGUUGUUCGCUACAUGGAUUCCUUCCCGCAUUCAAUUCUCAAUACAAUCUGGAAAAGGAAAAAAAAUUAUAAUCGGAGACGCAUUAUCGUUGAUAACGACGAAGCAGUGAUUUAGUAC